rnacentral:rRNA from 1 species
UACGAAGGGGGCUAGCGUUGCUCGGAAUCACUGGGCGUAAAGGGUGCGUAGGCGGGUCUUUAAGUCAGGGGUGAAAUCCUGGAGCUCAACUCCAGAACUGCCUUUGAUACUGAGGAUCUUGAGUUCGGGAGAGGUGAGUGGAACUGCGAGUGUAGAGGUGAAAUUCGUAGAUAUUCGGAAGAACACCCGUGGCGAAGGCGGCUCUCUGGUACGUGACUGACGCUGAGACGCGAAAGCGUGGGGAGCGAACAGG